rnacentral:rRNA from 1 species
CGGCGGACGGGUGAGUAACACGUAGGAUAACCUACCUAUAAGACUGGGAUAACUUCGGGAAACCGGAGCUAAUACCGGAUAAUAUAUUGAACCGCAUGGUUCAAUAGUGAAAGACGGUUUUGCUGUCACUUAUAGAUGGAUCCGCGCCGCAUUAGCUAGUUGGUAAGGUAACGGCUUACCAAGGCAACGAUGCGUAGCCGACCUGAGAGGGUGAUCGGCCACACUGGAACUGAGACACGGUCCAG